rnacentral:rRNA from 1 species
AUUGAACGCUGGCGGCAUGCUUUACACAUGCAAGUCGAACGGCAGCACGGGCUUCGGCCUGGUGGCGAGUGGCGAACGGGUGAGUAAUGCAUCGGAACGUGCCCAUGUUGUGGGGGAUAACUACGCGAAAGCGUGGCUAAUACCGCAUACGCCCUGAGGGGGAAAGCGGGGGAUUCUUCGGAACCUCGCGCAAUUGGAGCGGCCGAUGUCAGAUUAGCUUGUUGGUGAGGUAAAGGCUCACCAAGGCGACGAUCUGUAGCGGGUCUGAGAGGAUGAUCCGCCACACUGGGACUGAGACACGGCCCAGACUCCUACGGGAGGCAGCAGUGGGGAAUUUUGGACAAUGGGGGCAACCCUGAUCCAGCCAUGCCGCGUGAGUGAAGAAGGCCUCGGUUGUAAGUA